rnacentral:rRNA from 1 species
CACGUAGGAGGCGAGCGUUGUCCGGAAUCAUUGGGCGUAAAGAGCGCGCAGGCGGCUUGGCAAGUCGGGUGUGAAAUCCCGGGGCUCAACCCCGUGACUGCAUCCGAUACUGUCAGGCUAGAGGUAGGUAGGGGAGAUCGGAAUUCCUGGUGUAGCGGUGAAAUGCGCAGAUAUCAGGAGGAACACCAAUGGCGAAGGCAGCUCGCUGGGACGUGACUGACGCUGAGACGCGAAAGCGUGGGGAGCAAACAGG